UUGAGGUGUUGGGAACACUGGGUCUGUAGUCUGUGUUGAGGUGUGGGGAACACUGGGUCUGUCUUACUGUGUUGAGGUGUGGGGAACACUGGGUCUGUAGUCUAUCUUACUGUGUUGAGGUGUGGGGAACACUGGGUCUGUAGUCUGUCUUACUGUGUUGAGGUGUGGGGAACACUGGGUCUGUCUUACUGUGUUGAGGUGUGGGGAACACUGGGUCUGUCUUACUGUGUUGAGGUGUGGGGAACACUGGGUCUGUCUUACUGUGUUGAGGUGUGGGGAACACUGGGUCUGUAGUCUAUCUUACUGUGUUCAGGUGUGGGGAACACUGGGUCUGUAGUCUGUCUUACUGUGUUGAGGUGUGGGGAACACUGGGUCUGUCUUACUGUGUUGAGGUGAGGGGAACACUGGGUCUGUAGUCUGUGUUGAGGUGUGGGGAACACUGGGUCUGCAGUCUGUGUUGAGGUGUGGGGAACACUGGGUCUGUAGUCUGUUGAGGUGUGGGGAUCACUGGGUCUGUAGUCUGUGUUGAGGUGUGGGGAACACUGGGUCUGUAGUCUGUCUUACUGUGUUGAGGUGUGGGGAACACUGGGUCUGUAGUCUGUCUUACUGUGUUGAGGUGUUGGGAACACUGGGUCUGUAGUCUGUGUUUAGGUGUGGGGAACACUGGGUCUGUCUUACUGUGUUGAGGUGUGGGGAACACUGGGUCUGUAGUCUAUCUUACUGUGUUCAGGUGUGGGGAACACUGGGUCUGUAGUCUGUCUUACUGUGUUGAGGUGUGGGGAACACUGGGUCUGUAGUCUGUCUUACUGUGUUGAGGUGUUGGGAACACUGGGUCUGUAGUCUGUGUUUAGGUGUGGGGAACACUGGGUCUGUCUUACUGUGUUGAGGUGUGGGGAACACUGGGUCUGUAGUCUAUCUUACUGUGUUGAGGUGUGGGGAACACUGGUUCUGUA
rnacentral:lncRNA from 1 species